GCCGUCAUCCGCACAAAUUCACAUUCCCUGAGGACAGACAACAGCCCAGCCAGAGUUAUAUACCGAAACCUUUAUGCAGCUUAAAUCAUCCCCCCGCAACUUUAUGAGACAGGUGCUAACAUAAUCCGCAUUUACUCCACCAAGGAAACUGAUGCCCAGAGAGGGCAAGGAAUUGGCCCAAAGCCACACAGCUAAAAAGCAGUCAGGGGAAAGUGUAUCUCAGGGGUCUGGUCCCUCCACGGUGCUGCCCCCAAGGAUGAGGUGCUCACCCCCUCAAGUAUAGACAAGGAGGCUGAGGUUCAAGGUCACCAGCCAGGAGUGAUGGGGCAGGGAGUAUGACAUAGUCCAGGCUGCUUCCAAAGUUCCUGUGGUCACUACUGUAACUUCGUUUCCCAAGCUGCUGCCUGGCCGGGAAGAGCUGACCUCUGGCUGGGGAUGAGGAGGACCUGGCUGGUGCGAGAGCAACUCAGUAGGCAACUCCAGGAUCCAAUGAGGCAUCAAUGUUGGUGGAUGGAGCCCCUUAGCUGGAUGGAGUCCAGUGUCCAGGAGAGACUGAUUGGCAAUGACCCCCCUCUUCAGUGGAACUCAGCACGGAGGGGCUACCGUCUUCAGAAGAGGACAGCAUCCCUUUCCCCGGUUCUCUUUGUGCCCACCUUGCCCUAACAUUGAGCCUCCACAUCGUCAGCUGCAAAGCGGAGAAAGAAAGAAAGUGGCAGCCCAGCUGGGACAAAUCCAAGCAGCCCACCAGGACCCGCAAGGACCUGGAGAAAUGGUGCGGCAGGCACACGUGCAUUCUGCGGGGUACCAGGGGGCCAGCCGCUCCCCAGCAGGACUCUGUGAAUAUGUUGCCUUACACGGUAAAAGGGGCUUCCCUGUUGCAAUCUAGUCACGGAUCUGGAGAUGGGUAAGUCACCCUGGAUUAUCCCCGUAGGCCCGAUGAUGUAGGCGGACCACAGUGAGUAGUAGGUGUGCCAGCAGGAGCACGUGUCUUGUGAGGGAGGGGUCGUGAGCCAAGGAAGGAGGCCGCUUUCUAGAAGCUGGAAAACUCAGCCUCUCUCCUGCAGCCCUCAGAAGGGACAUGGCAGUGCUGACCCCUUCAUUUUAGAUCUCCGGUACCCGGAAGCAUAAGGUAAUAAAUCAGCGUGGUUUUAGGCCACUAAAUUUGUGGAAAUUAAUACAAUAGGCACAGGAUGAGAAUUUGUGAGUUACUGUAGGUAACAGCUUCAGUGCCUAGCGCAGUUGGUGCUUGGUGGACGGGGCUCAGAGGGCCGCUGGUAAUCGGGGCGACGGGGAGGAGUCCGCAGGAGUGGAGGGAUUCAAAACUCCAUGCAUACCGCGAAGCCACAGCAAUGGCUAAUAAAGAAGUGGCUGUUCCGUAGGCAUCGGCGUGGAGACCAGCGGGUGACACGGACAGGAGGAGGACGAUGACGUCACUGCUGUUUUCUGCAACCUCCCUGCCCGUCAGGCACUGAGCUAAGCGCUCUCCCUCCUUCUGAUCCUCAUAAGGAUACGCGGGAUCUCUUUCAGUCCGAGCGAAACCACAAAGCCAUUUGGACUGGAGAAGUCUGACAUAAAGAAUUAUUAACUGGGGGCUCCUGGGUGGCUCCGUUGGUCAAGCCACUGCCUUGGGCUCAAGUCAUGAUCCCGGAGUUCCCGGAUGGAGUCCCGCAUCGCAUCAGGCUCCCAGCUCCGCGGGAGUCUGCUUCUCCCUCUGACCUUCUCCCUCUCGUGCUCUCUCUGUCAAAUAAAUAAAAUCUUAAAAAAAAAUAA